rnacentral:rRNA from 1 species
CAAUAGCGUAUAUUUAAGUUGUUGCAGUUAAAAAGCUCGUAGUUGGAUUUCGGAUGGGACUUGCCGGUCCGUCGUUUCGAUGUGCACUGGCCAGUCCUAUCUUGUUGUCGGGGACUAGCUCCUGGGCUUCACUGUCCGGGACUAGGAGCUGACGAGGUUACUUUGAGUAAAGUAGAGUGUUCAAAGCAAGCCUACGCUCUGAAUACAUUAGCAUGGAAUAACACGAUAGGACUCUGGCUUAUCUUGUUGGUCUGUGAGACCAGAGUAAUGAUUAAGAGGGACAGUCGGGGGCAUUCGUAUUUCAUUGUCAGAGGUGAAAUUCUUGGAUUUAUGAAAGACGAACUUCUGCGAAAGCAUUUGUCAAGGAUGUUUUCAUUAA